ACACAGCUUUGCGAUCUCCCCAGCAUGCAGAGUCUGAUGUCUUCCCUAUAGAUGAUUCCAGAGACUCUGUGAAGCCACUAUUACAAGGUGAGACGCUUUGCGUUGAUUGGUGCUGCUGGACCACACUGGAGGUGCGAGUCCGCUGUGUAAUGGUUUAUGCCAUUACAAAGGAGCUGGCCUCUGUACUCAACUGGGCAGGGAAAAAAUACCAAGGACCAGACAAAGCAAAAAAGGGCAUUUAAAGAGACAGCGCUGUGCAGAUGCAUAUUUGAUGGCCUGGCGCAGCAGGUAGGGGCGAACUCUAUGUCUG